rnacentral:rRNA from 1 species
GAUGCGACCUCAGCUCAGGCGGGGCCACCCGCUGAGUUUAAGCAUAUCAAUAAGCGGAGGAAAGAAAAACUAACCAGGGAUUCCCCUAG